GCCACUGCAACUGGUUCUGGUGUUACAGUCUCACCAGCCAUAGCUCCAAGCCUCCAACUUCAAAGUACAGAAUCUCUGAUCAGAAGAAGCCUUUCAAAGUACAGAAUCUCUGAUCAGGAGAGAGAGAGAGAGAGAGAGAGAGAGAGGAAAUUCAGACCAUUGGGUCCCAGCAAAGAGAAGGCAUAGGCAGCUCAGGUUCACUGGUGAGAGAAUGAAAGUAACUGGUUCAAGAGCGGUUGAUUCCUUAGAGAGAGGAAAGUUAAAACCAUAAAAUCCAAUCACUUUAACACAGAAGGGUUAAAACACAGAGGAUAGCUGUUUGGAAGUGCAUGCACACAAAUGGAUAAUAAAAU
rnacentral:lncRNA from 1 species